rnacentral:rRNA from 1 species
AUUGAACGCUGGCGGCAGGCUUAACACAUGCAAGUCGAGCGAGUGGCGGACGGGUGAGUAAUGUCUGGGAACCUGCCUGAUGGAGGGGGAUAACUACUGGAAACGGUAGCUAAUACCGCAUACCAUCAGAUGUGCCCAGCUGGGAUUGGCUAGUAGGUGGGGUAAUGGCUCACCUAGGCGACGAUCCCUAGCUGGUCUGAGAGGAUGGCCAGCCACACUGGAACUGCGACACGGUCCAGACUCCUACGUGAGGCAGCAGUGGGGAGUAUUGCACAAUGGGCGCAAGCCUGAUGCAGCCAUGCCGCGUGUGUGAAGAAGGCCUUCGGGUUGUAAAGCACGUUCAGCGGGGAGGCGUUACUCGCAGAAGAAGCACCGGCUAACUCCGUGCCAGCAGCCGCGGUAAUAC